AAUUCACUCCCCCCACAGACAAGACACCUUUUGAUUACAGAAAACCCACCCAAGUGAGCAUGGGCUGAGCAGUGUAUGUUGAAGGGAGCUCCUAACAAUGAGAAAAAGCACAGGGAGAUGCCUUCUUUCAGGCUAAUGACAAGAAGAAAACAGGAGGAUGGAGACAAAUAAAGUAAUAGCAAAGGAGCAGUUGGGAAAGGGAUGCAUUAUUAAGCCCAGAGUUAGUAAAUAUGUUUCUCCUUCCAAAGCUGCUUGCAUAAUGAUAUCAUCCUCAUUUGAAGAGUGCAUUACUGGUAUCUCCUUACAAUACCGUGGCAUUAAGCAAUGAAAAUGGUAAUUUCUGUCUCCUCACAAUGCAAAAUUUUCUGAAAAUAAAGUUAGAGAAA